rnacentral:lncRNA from 1 species
UCAGAUCUCUCCCACGUUCACAAAAGGUCUCCUCUCUUCUUUCUUACAUGGAAGGUGGUUUGGAUCAAAUCUAAAAGGAAUAAGUUUGGAUUUCGAAUUCUAUGAGAUAGAGUUUUAGAAAUCCAAAACUCUUUCAAUUUUGCACUGAAUUUAUCCAAAUUUUUUUUGAAAUUUUUGUGACUUUUAGGGUAUACAUUGUGCACCCUUUUCUUUUGAUCCAUAUAUAAAAAUAUGAAGGAGGUGCUCAAGAGUUGGGCGUCCCUUAACUUGCCAUGUUUGGAUAAGCCUUGACUAGGUGUUUGACCUAGACAAGGACUCUAUGAUAUCUCUCUAUAUAAGAUGAGUUUCUUUGUGAAAUUUUAGAAAAAAUUAUAUAUUUGAGAGACCUUUGCUCCAUCCAAAAAUCAGAGAGAAAUACCUUUGGGUCGUGGAGAUAUAAAAGAUGCAAGUUUGGGUGUCUAGAGAGAAAAACGUGAAGAAGAAGAGGGUCUUCUUCUUGGGUUUUU